UCCGAAUCAUCGCCGUUGCUUUUUUCGGAAGCGGAUCGUCGCAGACUCGCUGUUGCUUUUUGUUCAGGGUUAAACGUUAACUAUGUACGUCGACGAGAACAAAGAGAAACCGAAUUCCAACUUUCCGGUUUUUGCGUCAACGAGUGGAUUACCCCGUUGUGUCGUGGCACUUUUACGGUCGCCGAUUCGACAGCGCUAACGAGACAAUCUUCGAGUGCGAUCCGCCAAUCCAACGAGGCUGAGAGUUCUCUGGAACGAGCUGCUAGGGGUUCCGGGCGAAAGCCGAGCGACGAUAACGAGAGAAUCGGGGGAUACGGGCGUCAAAGAAGAAAUGUGUACUCACCACCAUCUCGUAUAUCGCUUCAACGAUAUUGUACAUCUCGGCUCUCGUGAUGAAUCCAUCGUUGUCGACGUCGUAGAGCCGAAACGCCCCUGAAAACCACCAGAAACCCGAUCUUCAGUGAACCGUUUCUCAUACGCGCUGAAUAACGAUCCCUAAAUUCGUCCCGAAAGCGUAAUAAAACUUUUCGUUGCAAUGGAACAUCGACCGUAUCGAAUCUAAUUAAUAUCUGCGGAAUUCAAAACGGAGAACACGUAAGCCUAAUCAGACCCGAGCAAAUUUUGUUUCAAUUGGAAAUGAGAAAUAACCAUUCCAAAUACAGUAAUUUCUCCCGGAAA